GCAGCAGUGGGGAAUAUUGCACAAUGGGCGAAAGCCUGAUGCAGCAACGCCGCGUGAGCGAUGAAGGCCUUCGGGUCGUAAAGCUCUGUCCUCAAGGAAGAUAAUGACGGUACUUGAGGAGGAAGCCCCGGCUAACUACGUGCUAGCAGCCGCGGUAAUACGUAGGGGGCUAGCGUUAUCCGGAAUUACUGGGCGUAAAGGGUGCGUAGGUGGUUUCUUAAGUCAGAGGUGAAAGGCUACGGCUCAACCGUAGUAAGCCUUUGAAACUGGGAAACUUGAGUGCAGGAGAGGAGAGUGGAAUUCCUAGUGUAGCGGUGAAAUGCGUAGAUAUUAGGAGGAACACCAGUUGCGAAGGCGGCUCUCUGGGCUGUAACUGACACUGAGGCACGAAAGCGUGGGGAGCAAACAGGAUUAGAUACCCUGGUAGUCCACGCUGUAAACGAUGAGUACUAGCUGUCGGAGGUUACCCCCUUCGGUGGCGCAGCUAACGCAUUAAGUACUCCGCCUGGGAAGUACGCUCGCAAGAGUGAAACUCAAAGGAAUUGACGG
rnacentral:rRNA from 1 species